rnacentral:rRNA from 1 species
GAUGAACGCUGGCGGCGUGCCUAAUACAUGCAAGUCGAGCGAACGGACGAGAAGCUUGCUUCUCUGAUGUUAGCGGCGGACGGGUGAGUAACACGUGGAUAACCUACCUAUAAGACUGGGAUAACUUCGGGAAACCGGAGCUAAUACCGGAUAAUAUUUUGAACCGCAUGGUUCAAAAGUGAAAGACGGUCUUGCUGUCACUUAUAGAUGGAUCCGCGCUGCAUUAGCUAGUUGGUAAGGUAACGGCUUACCAAGGCAACGAUGCAUAGCCGACCUGAGAGGGUGAUCGGCCACACUGGAACUGAGACACGGUCCAGUCUCCUACGGGAGGCAGCAGUAGGGAAUCUUCCGCAAUGGGCGAAAGCCUGACGGAGCAACGCCGCGUGAGUGAUGAAGGUCUUCGGAUCGUAAAACUCUGUUAUUAGGGAAGAACAUAUGUGUAAGUAACUGUGCACAUCUUGACGGUACCUAAUCAGAAAGCCACGGCUAACUACGUG